AAGUUAAUGCAUGUGUUUCAGGCAGACCUGAAUGUCAAGAGCUUAAAAAUCUUGUAAGUGUGUUGGAACCUGAUCUCGAGCGGAACUAAACAAGCGUUGGUGAACGAGAGACAGGAAAGUGACUAGUUCUUGCCAGUUCCCCUUGCCCAGUUCACCUCUGAAUCCUAGGACAGGUGACCGCUGCAUCCGAGUACAUUGACGGAGCUGGGAGCUGACUGAAGGGGCACCGCGCGCCAGUGUUCGUGGAGAGGAUCACCUCGUACAGUGCCUAAUGAGGAAAGGGUUGCAAGUGUGAUCUACAGAGACAGCUCUGGAGAUUGCCGGCUGACAAGAUCAGACCACUUCAUGCUUACAAUGUUUUUUUUUUCUCCUCUCUCUCUCCGUCACCUGGCUGUUCAGCAGAUUAAAAUCUUCCAGCCUACCAUCGCUGGAGCUGGGAGCCUCCUCGUACUGUCGUGAGGCCCACCGUGGGGCGCGGACUUAACAUCGGAGCGGAUCCCUUGCCUGGGGUCGCUCCCACCGCAGCCUGCAGACUUACCAACAAGGGCUCGCAGUCUCGGGUGAGGCCGAGUCGGGAGCUCCAACGCCGCGGAAGGUUCGACCAGCCCCGACGUGAAGUUCGAUCGCCCGGUGCGGGGGAGCUGACAUCCCCCCCGAUGCAGGAGCUGAUCGCCUCGACGCGGAGAGCCCAAACGCCGCCGGCUACGGGAGUCAAGAUCAUCCCGUCAACGGGGGCUCGAGGCCCACGACCGAGGAAGAACAAAAGGAAGAGACUUGAAGUUUAUUUCACCUUCCAUCACAGUGGGGAAUGUGUGGGAGUCACUGUGGUGGAUGUUGAUGUUAAAAUGUGUUUUUGAGUGAUCUGUUGCUUCUAAUUGUAUAACUGACCUGGACAAUGAAAUUCCUCAUAUGUUGCAAAACAUACUUGGUGAAUAAAGUCUGAUUCUGAUUCUGAUUCUGAAAUCGAAGGGAGACAAAAAUAACUCAGCGGGACAGGCAGCAUCUCUGGAGAGAAGGGACGGGUGACGUUUUGGGUUGAGACCCUUCUUCAGACUUGAAGUUUAGUUUAGUUUAGAGUUGCAGUACAGAAACAGGCCCUUCGGCCCACCAGGUCCGUGCCGGCCGGCGAUCCCUACACAUUAACACUAUCCUACACGCAUGAGGGAUCAUUCUUACAUUUACCGAAGCUAAUGAACCUACAAACCUGUGCAUCUCUGGAGUGUGGGAGGAAACCGGAGCACCCGGAGUAAAACCCACGCAGGUCACAGGGAGAACGUGCAAACUCCGUACAGACAGCCCCCGUAGUCGGGAUGAAACCCGGGUCUCUGGUGCUCUACCGCUGCACCACCGUGCCACCCUGAUUUGUGAAUCAUGGAACCUUUGAGUGAAUGUAUGACCUACCAGAAACUAUUUAUUUCAUACGUCCACGGGUUAUAGGAGCAGAGUUAGGCAACUCCACCAUUCAAUCAUGGCUGAUUUAUCUCUCCCUCCUAACCCCAUUCUCCUGCCUUCUCCCCAUAACCCCUGACACCCGUACUAAUCAAGAAUCUGCUGAUCUCUGCCUUAAAAAUAUCCAUAGACACAGCCUUCUGUGGCAUAGAAUUCCACAUAUUCACCACCCUCUGAUGAAAAAAUUCCUCCUCAUCUCCUUCCUAAAGGGACGUCCUUUAAUUUUGAGGCUGUGACCUCUGGCCCUAGACUCUCCCACUAGUGGAAACAUCCUCUCCACAUCCACUCUGUCCAAGGCCUUUCACUAUUCUGUACGUUACAUUUUAUUCUGUAGGUAGACAGAUUAAUAUUGCAGAUAAAUACAGAGAUAGGUUACAGAGUAAGGUUGAAUAAGUUAGGUCUUUAUUCUCUGGAGCGCAGAAGGUUAAGGGGGGACUUGAUAGAGGUCUUUAAAAUGAUGAGAGGGAUAGACAGAGUUGAUGUGGACAAGCUUUUCCCUUUGAGAAUAGGGAAGAUUCAAACAAGAGGACAUGACUUCAGAAUUAAGGGACAGAAGUUUAGGGGUAACAUGAGGGGGAACUUCUUUACUCAGAGAGUGGUAGCGGUGUGGAAUGAGCUUCCAGUGGAAGUGGUGGAGGCAGGUUCGUUGGUAUCCUUUAAAAAUAAAUUGGAUAGGCAUAUGGAUGAGAAGGGAAUGGAGGGUUAUGGUAUGAGUGCAGGCAGGUGGGACUAAGGGGAAAAAAGUUGUUCGGCACGGACUUGUAGGGCCGAGAUGGCCUGUUUCCGUGCUGUAAUUGUUAUAUGGUUAUAUGGUUA